CCUACGGGAGGCAGCAGUAGGGAAUAUUGGACAAUGGGUGCGAGCCUGAUCCAGCCAUGCCGCGUGCAGGAAGAAGGCCUUCUGGGUUGUAAACUGCUUUUGCCGGGGGAUAAAAGACCCAUGCGUGGGGAAUUGAAGGUACCCGGUGAAUAAGCCACGGCUAACUACGUGCCAGCAGCCGCGGUAAUACGUAGGUGGCGAGCGUUGUCCGGAUUUAUUGGGUUUAAAGGGUGCGUAGGCGGCCCCGUAAGUCAGUGGUGAAAUACGGCAGCUCAACUGUCGAGGUGCCAUUGAUACUGCGGGGCUUGAGUACAGUCGAGGUAGGCGGAAUUGACGGUGUAGCGGUGAAAUGCUUAGAUAUCGUCAAGAACACCGAUAGCGAAGGCAGCUUGCUAGGCUGUAACUGACGCUGAGGCACGAAAGUGCGGGGAUCAAACAGGAUUAGAUACCCUGGUAGUCCGCACAGUAAACGAUGGUCACUCGGUGUUGGCGGUACACGGCCAGCGCCUUAGCGAAAGCGUUAAGUGACCACCUGGGGAGUACGCCCGCAAGGGUGAAACUUAAGGAAUUGACGG
rnacentral:rRNA from 1 species